rnacentral:tRNA from 1 species
AAGAGUAAAAGACAAAGGAAUAGCUGCUAACUAUAACCUAGAGCAGUUUAACUCUGUUCUACUCUUU